UUGCGCACUUUGGCAGACGCCCCGAAACCGAAGCAAAUACACGGAAGAUAAACAUGGCCCCUGUGCAAGGACAACCCGCAGAUUCGUGAGGCAGUCUGUAUUUAA
rnacentral:snRNA from 1 species